rnacentral:antisense_RNA from 1 species
GGAAUGGGAUAUUCCGACUCCUUAAGGGCCUGGAGCACAUAAGGUGUGACCUUUUCAUUCCCGUUGUCAUGGAGGGCCACAUCUGCCAGAGCCUGGAGUCUGCGAAGGCCGGGACCCGGUUCCCCGGCCCGCCGUGGGGAGUGUGCAAACCCGAGAGAACUGGAUUGCGUACCCACUGCAGAGGGCUGAAGACGGGGUAGCCACGAGGUUGCAAAUUCGUGAAGAAUCAGCAGCAUGUUUGGCAGCUGAGUAUUGGAGCCAGGAGCCUGCCAUGAGGUUUUGAGAACAGGGUGCUGUUUUAGAGCUGGCAGCAGCAUCUCAGCCCAAGAGAAGGUUAUAUUCCCAGAGGAUGUCAGUCCCAAGGACCAGUAGCUGCCAUCAGUUUGGAUUCUGAAAACUAACCGGCAUCAACAUUGGGUGUAGAAACAUGCUUGCCUUGUGUAUCAGAGGACAUGCUCAGCAGAUCCAAGAGAUAUAUUUGGCAACUUUUUCUAGAAAAGGCACAUUAGGUAUCAUUCAUUACAUUCUUGAGUUUUUUUGGGGUUUUUUUUUUUUUUGAGACAGUCUUGCUGUGUUGCCCAGGCUGGAGUGUGGUGGCACAAUCACAGCUCAUUGCAGCCUCAAUCACCCAGGCCUAAGCAAUCCUCCCACCUUGUAGCUGGGACUACAGCUCACAGCACACCUGGCUAAAAUUUUUUUUUGUUGAGACGGAUUCUCUAUGUUGCUCAGGCUGGUCUCAAGCUCCUGGGCUUAGAUGGUCCUCCUGCCUCAGCUUCCAAAGGCACAGGCCAAGUUGUAGCUUUGUCCCUUGCCAUCAUGCCCAACAAGAGGUUCUAUACCUUUUAAUGAACUGACUUUCAUAAAUUGGUUAUGUUGGUGGGCAAGUUCUUUAAGCUGGAAAUUGUAAAUUCCUCCUGAAAUGUUUUUUCAUGCAGUUACCAUGAACUAAUACUACAAUAAAGGAUGGUCUUGGGUGUCAAUUCUUGAAAA